ACUCUGUUGCCCCAAUGGAUAAGGCGCUGGUCUACGAAACCAGAGAUUCUGGGUUCGAUCCAAGAUAAGUG
rnacentral:tRNA from 11 species